UUUAUUACUGAAAAAUUCCUGCGCGAAUCUCGUUCAUAAAAAUAGUGCCGAUAGGGGGUCGGAAUUACGUCGUUUUUAAGGUGGUUUUCGAUUGGAUAUGGUUAAAAUAACCACUGAUCAUAUAAAUUAAUACAUUUAUGUUCGCGGGCAAAGAACUUUCGUUUCCACACAGUUGCGUAGAAGAUAAAAAGAAAGCCUCAGAAAAUUUCCGAGAUCGAGAAAAAUAGACAUAUAUCUGAUACUUAUAAGUCAGAGUCUCAGGAUUGGGAAGAGUUUGACUCGGAGUCUGACAGUGAGCGUUCGGAGUCUGACAGUGAGCGUGUAUCACCGCAGCCAGGUCAAUUUACACAGGACCGGGCUGCAAUAGCUGAAAAGUUGAAGCUUCCGCAUCAGAAUACCGCAAGAAGCUGCCGUUUGUGAAUGCGGCCCCGAUAGAGGAGAUUGAGGCAAAGAAGCUGAAGGCAGCGGGAGGAAAAGAGAAGAAAUCAGAAAGAAAUCGCCAUAGGCGAUAACUGAAUAUAAGAUUUUUUAAACCAUUGAAUAGGUUUGUUAGUCACCUAUCUUAGGAAAAAUACUUACAGAUACAUUGAAGUUCAAAUAACUAGUGUUAGGUCUUAUUUAAAUAAGAAGAAUUUUGGUUUUUGAACCUAUUUAAUGAAGCAAAUGAUUUUACUUUUGUUAAACAUGUGUGACAGUGAACUAUUGUCUUCAUGUUAACCUUAUUUAAGUAUUGGCUGUUGUUCUUGUGGUGUAUUUAUAAUUUGAGGACUUAUUUUACCUAAUGGACAAUUAAUUUUAAUUUAGUGAACAACAUAUAAAACUUGUCAAAACUAUUGAAAGCCCCCAUAAGAAUUUCACCGUUUUGUAGUGACCACUAUGUCUGCUCAUGACACUGUCGGUCUGACAUGUGAGAGUGCAGUUGAAGUAAAUUGAUUCAUCAAUCGUCAUUUAUGAAAAAUUUCAAUCUUUGGGAUUAGUUUUUGCCUAUAUGCUACCUUUGACUGACAAAAAAAACCCACAUCAACAAUGUUGUUUGUUAUUUUAUUUUAACAACUCGUCAUCGUGAUUGGGAGGCAUGUGUCAUUUUAAUUCAU